rnacentral:rRNA from 1 species
ACGAAGGUUGCGAGCGUUGUUCGGAAUCACUGGGCUUAAAGCGCAUGUAGGCGGAUGAGUAAGCGUUUUGUGAAAUCCCUCGGCUUAACCGAGGAAUUGCUUGGCGAACUGCUCAUCUUGAGGCAAGCAGGGGUGCAUGGAACUCUUGGUGGAGCGGUGGAAUGCGUAGAUAUCAAGAGGAACGCCAAUGGUGAAAACAGUGCACUGGGCUUGUUCUGACGCUGAGAUGCGAAAGCGUGGGGAGCGAACGG